rnacentral:rRNA from 1 species
CCAAUAGCGUAUAUUAAAGUUGUUGCAGUUAAAAAGCUCGUAGUUGAAUUUCGGGAUCAGCGCGUCGGUCGUGCCUCCGGUAUGCACUGGCGCCGCUGGUUUCUCCCUUCUGAGGAACCGUGAUGUCAUUAAUUUGGUGUCGCGGGAAAUCAGGACUGUUACUUUUAAAAAAUUAGAGUGUUUAAAGCGGGCACGCGCUUGAAUACAUUAGCAUGGAAUAACGAAAUAGGACGUUCGGUCUUAUUUUGUUGGUUUCUAGGAUUGACGUAAUGAUUAAUAGGGAUAGUUGGGGGCAUUAGUAUUCAAUUGUCAGAGGUGAAAUUCUUGGAUUUAGUGAAGACUAACUACUGCGAAAGCAUUUGCCAAGGAUGUUUUCAUUAAUCAAGAACGAAAGUUAGGGGAUCGAAGACGAUCAGAUACCGUCGUAGGCUUAACCAUAAACUAUGCCGACUAGGGAUCGGAUGAUGUUAAUUUUAUAAUGACUCAUUCGGCGCCUUACG